rnacentral:rRNA from 1 species
AUUGAACGCUGGCGGCAUGCCUUACACAUGCAAGUCGAACGGCAGCACGGGAGCAAUCCUGGUGGCGAGUGGCGAACGGGUGAGUAAUACAUCGGAACGUGCCCAGUAGUGGGGGAUAGCCCGGCGAAAGCCGGAUUAAUACCGCAUGAGACCUGAGGGUGAAAGCGGGGAAUCGCAAGACCUCGCGCUAUUGGAGCGGCCGAUGUCAGAUUAGCUAGUUGGUGGGGUAAAGGCCUACCAAGGCAACGAUCUGUAGUUGGUCUGAGAGGACGACCAGCCACACUGGGACUGAGACACGGCCCAGACUCCUACGGGAGGCAGCAGUGGGGAAUUUUGGACAAUGGGGCAACCCUGAUCCAGCAAUGCCGCGUGCAGGAAGAAGGCCUUCGGGUUGUAAACUGCUUUUGUCAGGGAAGAAAUCCUCUGGGUUAAUACCUCGGGGGGAUGACGGUACCUGAAGAAUAAGCACCGGCUAACUACGUGCCAGCCGCCGCCGUAAUAC